rnacentral:rRNA from 1 species
UACCAGCACCCCGAGUGGUCGGGACGUUUAUUGGGCCUAAAGCAUCCGUAGCCGGUUCUACAAGUCUUCCGUUAAAUCCAACUGCUUAACAGGUGGGCUGCGGAAGAUACUAUAGAGCUAGGAGGCGGGAGAGGCAAGCGGUACUCGAUGGGUAGGGGUAAAAUCCGUUGAUCCGUUGAAGACCACCAGUGGCGAAGGCGGCUUGCCAGAACGCGCUCGACGGUGAGGGAUGAAAGCUGGGGGAGCAAACCGG